GACGAACGCUGGCGGCGUGCCUAAUACAUGCAAGUAGAACGCUGAAGAGAGGAGCUUGCUCUUCUUGGAUGAGUUGCGAACGGGUGAGUAACGCGUAGGUAACCUGCCUUGUAGCGGGGGAUAACUAUUGGAAACGAUAGCUAAUACCGCAUAACAAUGGAUGACCCAUGUCAUUUAUUUGAAAGGGGCAAAUGCUCCACUACAAGAUGGACCUGCGUUGUAUUAGCUAGUAGGUGAGGUAACGGCUCACCUAGGCGACGAUACAUAGCCGACCUGAGAGGGUGAUCGGCCACACUGGGACUGAGACACGGCCCAGACUCCUACGGGAGGCAGCAGUAGGGAAUCUUCGGCAAUGGGGGCAACCCUGACCGAGCAACGCCGCGUGAGUGAAGAAGGUUUUCGGAUCGUAAAGCUCUGUUGUAAGUCAAGAACGAGUGUGAGAGUGGAAAGUUCACACUGUGACGGUAGCUUACCAGAAAGGGAAGGGAAUU
rnacentral:rRNA from 1 species